rnacentral:rRNA from 1 species
AUACGUAGGGUGCAAGCGUUAAUCGGAAUUACUGGGCGUAAAGCGUGCGCAGGCGGUUUUGUAAGACAGUGGUGAAAUCCCCGGGCUCAAACUGGGAACUGCCAUUGUGACUGCAAGGCUGGAGUGCGGCAGAGGGGGAUGGAAUUCCGCGUGUAGCAGUGAAAUGCGUAGAUAUGCGGAGGAACACCGAUGGCGAAGGCAAUCCCCUGGGCCUGCACUGACGCUCAUGCACGAAAGCGUGGGGAGCAAACAGGAUUAGAUACCCUGGUAGUCCACGCCCUAAACGAUGUCAACUGGUUGUUGGGGAUUUAUUUUCUCAGUAACGAAGCUAACGCGUGAAGUUGACCGCCUGGGGAGUACGGCCGCAAGGUUAAAACUCAAAUGAAUUGACGGGG